ACGGGGAGAGAAACUGCAGAGUGAGAAAAUGAUGAUUCAACGUGUUACAAACAAACAUAUUCCACCUGUUACAACAAUCUGGCA
rnacentral:lncRNA from 1 species